UCCCUGGUGACUCAGACCGUAAAGAAUCUGCCUGCAAUGCAGGAGACCUGGGUUUAAUCCCCAGGUGGGGAA
rnacentral:tRNA from 1 species